AUCUACAGCCAUGCCACCCUGAACAUACCAGAUCCUGUCUGAUCUCGGAAAUUAAGCAGGGUCGCGCCUGGUUAGUACUUGGAUGGCAGACCACCUAGAAAUAUCAGGUGCAGGAGGUG
rnacentral:rRNA from 1 species